AUGCACAAGGCGCGGCUACGAGGCCACUGUGCCCGGGCAGGGAAGUCGGUGCGGUUGGCCAGCUCCGGGAUGACCCGCCGGGACCCGCUCACAAAUAAGGUGGCCCUGGUAACGGCCUCCACCGACUGCUUACAGAGUCAAGUCCCUGGGAACUUCAGGAAGCAGCCCACCAUGUUUCAACCACUUACUAUGUGCCAUUUCCUGUGUUCAGAGCCUUACACAGGUUAUCUCUAGACCUGACAACAACCCAAGCAAGGCAAGGACUAUUCUCUCGGUCUGCAGACGCUGGCUCAGAUAGCUGGAGCAACUUCCCAAGGUCCCACAGCCAGUAAGGAAAGACCCAGACCUCCCAAGCUCCCUUCCUUUAUUGGCUGCCUGUGGACUACCAGCUCUGGAUGGACAAGGAAAAAGAGGAAAGCAUGAAAGAAACCCUGCGGAUAAGAAGGUUAGGCGAGCCAGAGGAUUCUCUUGGCAUCGUGUCUUUCCUGUGCUC
ensembl:lncRNA novel transcript